AGCCGUUUGAGUCUGCGAUUUCCGAAUGGGGAAACCCAACUGCAUAAGCAGUUACUGUUAACUGAAUACAUAGGUUAACAGAGCAAACCGGGGGAACUGAAACAUCUAAGUACCCCGAGGAGAAGAAAUCAACCGAGAUUCCGGUAGUAGCGGCGAGCGAACCUGGAUUAGCCCUUAAGCACUCGGUGAAGUAGGUGAACAAGCUGGAAAGCUUGGCGAUACAGGGUGAUAGCCCCGUAACCGACGCUUCAUCGAGCGUGAAAUCGAGUAGGGCGGGACACGUGAUAUCCUGUCUGAAUAUGGGGGGACCAUCCUCCAAGGCUAAAUACUCCUGACUGACCGAUAGUGAACCAGUACCGUGAGGGAAAGGCGAAAAGAACCCCUGUGAGGGGAGUGAAAUAGAACCUGAAACCGUGUACGUACAAGCAGUAGGAGCACCUUCGUGGUGUGACUGCGUACCUUUUGUAUAAUGGGUCAGCGACUUAUAUUCAGUGGCAAGGUUAACCGUAUAGGGGAGCCGUAGCGAAAGCGAGUCUUAACUGGGCGCUCAGUCUCUGGAUAUAGACCCGAAACCGGGUGAUCUAGCCAUGGGCAGGUUGAAGGUUGAGUAACAUCAACUGGAGGACCGAACCGACUAAUGUUGAAAAAUUAGCGGAUGACUUGUGGCUAGGGGUGAAAGGCCAAUCAAACUCGGAGAUAGCUGGUUCUCCCCGAAAGCUAUUUAGGUAGCGCCUCGGACGAAUACUACUGGGGGUAGAGCACUGUUAAGGCUAGGGGGUCAUCCCGACUUACCAACCCUUUGCAAACUCCGAAUACCAGUAAGUACUAUCCGGGAGACACACGGCGGGUGCUAACGUCCGUCGUGGAGAGGGAAACAACCCAGACCGCCAGCUAAGGUCCCAAAGUAUUGCUAAGUGGGAAACGAUGUGGGAAGGCUCAGACAGCUAGGAUGUUGGCUUAGAAGCAGCCAUCAUUUAAAGAAAGCGUAAUAGCUCACUAGUCGAGUCGGCCUGCGCGGAAGAUGUAACGGGGCUAAGCA
rnacentral:rRNA from 1 species